rnacentral:rRNA from 1 species
UUGGAGGGCAAGUCUGGUGCCAGCAGCCGCGGUAAUUCCAGCUCCAAUAGCGUAUAUUAAAGUUGUUGCAGUUAAAAAGCUCGUAGUUGAAUUUCGGGACCAAUUUGUUGGUCGUGCCUCGGUACGUACUGGUAUUAUUGGUUUCUACCUUCUGAAGAACCUUGAUGUCAUUAAUUUGGUGUCUUGGGGAAUCAGGACUGUUACUUUGAAAAAAUUAGAGUGUUUAAAGCAAGCAUACGCUUGAAUACAUUAGCAUGGAAUAAUGAAAUAGGACGUUUGAUUCUAUUUUGUUGGUUUCUAGGAUCGACGUAAUGAUUAAUAGGGAUAGUUGGUGGCAUUAGUAUUCAAUUGUCAGAGGUGAAAUUCUUGGAUUUAUUGAAGACUAACUACUGCGAAAGCAUUUGCCAAGGAUGUUUUCAUUAAUCAAGAACGAAAGUUAGGGGAUCGAAGACGAUCAGAUACCGUCGUAGUCUUAACCAUAAACUAUGCCGACUAGGGAUCGGAUGAUGUUAACUUUUUAAUGACUCAUUCGGCGCCUUACGGGAAACCAAAGUGUUUGGGUUC